rnacentral:rRNA from 1 species
CGGAGUUGCUAGUAAUCGCGAAUCAGCAUGUCGCGGUGAAUACGUUCCCGGGCCUUGUACACACCGCCCGUCACACCAUGAGAGUUGGUAACACCCGAAGUCCGUGAGGUAACCUAACACUAACGUGUUUAUGGAGCCAGCGGCCGAAGGUGGGAUUGAUGAUUGGGGUGAAGUCGUAACAAGGUAGCCGUAGGAGAACCUGCGGCUGGAUCACCUCCUUUCUAGGGAG